rnacentral:rRNA from 1 species
AGUGAACGCUGGCGGUAGGCCUAACACAUGCAAGUCGAACGGCAGCACAGUAAGAGCUUGCUCUUACGGGUGGCGAGUGGCGGACGGGUGAGGAAUACAUCGGAGUCUACUUUUUCGUGGGGGAUAACGUAGGGAAACUUACGCUAAUACCGCAUACGACCUACGGGUGAAAGCAGGGGAUCUUCGGACCUUGCGCGAUUGAAUGAGCCGAUGUCGGAUUAGCUAGUUGGCGGGGUAAAGGCCCACCAAGGCGACGAUCCGUAGCUGGUCUGAGAGGAUGAUCAGCCGCACUGGAACUGAGACACGGUCCAGACUCCUACGGGAGGCAGCAGUGGGGAAUAUUGGACAAUGGGCGCAAGCCUGAUCCAGCCAUACCGCGUGGGUGAAGAAGGCCUUCGGGUUGUAAAGCCCUUUUGUUGGGAAAGAAAAGCAGCAGGUUAAUACCCCGCUGUUCUGACGGUACCCAAAGAAUAAGCACCGGCUAACUUCGUG